rnacentral:ncRNA from 1 species
UGAGACGAGUGAGGGAGCUCGACCGGAGUAGCCGACUUUGGCGAGAAGCUGAGGCUUCCGCCGGUGCCGACGUCGACGGUCGCGCUGAGAGGCCAGAAAGUCGCUUACACAGGACUGGAUGACGACCCCUAACCACCUGAUCCGGGUCAUACCGGCGAAGGGAACCCGUUUCAUAGGUCG